GGGUUGUGAGGUUAAGCGACUAAGCGUACACGGUGGAUGACCUGGCAGUCAGAGGCGAUGAAGGACGUGCUAAUCUGCGAUAAGCGCCGGUAAGGUGAUAUGAACCGUUAUAACCGGCGAUUUCCGAAUGGGGAAACCCAGUGUGA
rnacentral:rRNA from 1 species